UACGUAGGGAGCAAGCGUUGUCCGGAAUCAUUGGGCGUAAAGCGCGCGUAGGCGGCUCGAUCAGUCUGUUGUGAAAGUCAAAGGCUCAACCUUUGAAUGCCGAUGGAUACUGUCGAGCUAGAGUCCGGAAGAGGCGGGUGGAAUUCCCGGUGUAGCGGUGAAAUGCGCAGAUAUCGGGAGGAACACCAAUUGCGAAGGCAGCUCGCUGGGACGUAACUGACGCUGAGACGCGAAAGCGUGGGGAGCAAACAGG
rnacentral:rRNA from 1 species